UACGUAGGGAGCAAGCGUUGUCCGGAAUCGAUUGGCGUAAAGCGCGCGUGAGGCGGCCCCGUAAGUCCGCUGUGAAAGUCAAAGGCUCAACCUUUGAAAGCCGGUGGAUACUGUGGGGCUAGAGUCCGGAAGAGGCGAGCGGAAUUCCUGGUGUAGCGGUGGAAUGCGCAGAUAUCAGGAGGAACACCAAUAGCGAAGGCAGCUCGCUGGGACGGUACUGACGCUAAGGCGCGAAAGCGUGGGGAGCGAACAGG
rnacentral:rRNA from 1 species